rnacentral:rRNA from 1 species
AGUGGCGGACGGGUGAGUAACGCGUAAGAAUCUAACUUCAGGACGGGGACAACAGUGGGAAACGACUGCUAAUACCCGAUGUGCCGCGAGGUGAAACCUAAUUGGCCUGAAGAAGAGCUUGCGUCUGAUUAGCUAGUUGGUGGGGUAAGAGCCUACCAAGGCGACGAUCAGUAGCUGGUCUGAGAGGAUGAGCAGCCACACUGGGACUGAGACACGGCCCAGACUCCUACGGGAGGCAGCAGUGGGGAAUUUUCCGCAAUGGGCGAAAGCCUGACGGAGCAACGCCGCGUGAGGGAGGAAGGUCUUUGGAUUGUAAACCUCUUUUCUCAAGGAAGAAGUUCUGACGGUACUUGAGGAAUCAGCCUCGGCUAACUCCGUGCCAGCAGCCGCGGUAAUACGGGGGAGGCAAGCGUUAUCCGGAAUUAUUGGGCGUAAAGCGUCCGCAGGUGGUCAGCCAAGUCUGCCGUCAAAUCAGGUUGCUUAACGACCUAAAGGCGGUGGAAACUGGCAGACUAGAGAACAGUAGGGGUAGCAGGAAUUCCCAGUGUAGCGGUGAAAUGCGUAGAGAUUGGGAAGAACAUCGGUGGCGAAAGCGUGCUACUGGGCUGUAUCUGACACUCAGGGACGAAAGCUAGGGGAGCGAAAGGGAUUAGAUACCCCUGUAGUCCUAGCCGUAAACGAUGGAUACUAGGCGUGGCUU